rnacentral:rRNA from 1 species
AGCGGAAACGACAUUAUUGAAUCUUCGGAGGAUUUANAUGGGCGUCGAGCGGCGGACGGGUGAGUAAUGCCUAGGAAAUUGCCUUGAUGUGGGGGAUAACCAUUGGAAACGAUGGCUAAUACCGCAUAAUGCCUACGGGCCAAAGAGGGGGACCUUCGGGCCUCUCGCGUCAAGAUAUGCCUAGGUGGGAUUAGCUAGUUGGUGAGGUAAUGGCUCACCAAGGCGACGAUCCCUAGCUGGUCUGAGAGGAUGAUCAGCCACACUGGAACUGAGACACGGUCCAGACUCCUACGGGAGGCAGCAGUGGGGAAUAUUGCACAAUGGGCGAAAGCCUGAUGCAGCCAUGCCGCGUGUAUGAAGAAGGCCUUCGGGUUGUAAAGUACUUUCAGUUGUGAGGAAGGGUGUGUAGUUAAUAGCUGCGCAUCUUGACGUUAGCAACAGAAGAAGCACCGGCUAACUCCGUGCCAGCAGCCGCGGUAAUACGGAGGGUGCGAGCGUUAAUCGGAAUUACUGGGGCGUACAAAGCCGCAUGCACGGGUGGUUCAUUAAAAGUCAGAUGUGAAAAGCCCGGGGGCUCAACCUCGGAAACUGCAAUUUGAAACCUUGGGUGAAACUACAGUUGCUGUAAA